AUUGCAAAAACACACGGACCCUGUGUGGAUUGGGUCGGGCCUCGGUUCGAUUUUCCAAAUGAAGCCAUUUUGGCGUCUACGACUUAAGCCCAAAACGACGCCGUUUUGAAGGGCUAUAUAAGUCAAAAAGUUAAAAAAAUCAUUUUUAUCCAUUUCAAAAAAAAAAAAAAACUUCCAGCCCCAUUUUUUCUCUCUCGGCCUCCCCCACUCUGGCCUUGGCGCAGGCGAGUUUUCGCCACGACAGCCACUUGUCACCGACGAUGGCUCUGCGCAGUUCCCGAUGGCCAAAAAACCUGUUUUAAGUCCCUUUCUUCGAAUAGAACGCCGAUCUAAGGUUUAAAUCCUAGAAAUCCAACCAACACUUGGUCAAGGGAAAAGAAACUGAAAGGUUUUGCCUUUUUCCGAUGAGGCCUUCGACGGAACCCUAAAGAGUUCCUAGGCUCCUCGAAUCGGUAGAAAAAGACCGACGACGGUGGCGGCGACGACGCAUCUCAAGUAAGAAUUUUUCUUCUUUUUUUUUUACUUCGAAAAUAAAAUAAAAAUAAAAUGCUACCUUUUGGUUUGAAAUCUGAUUUUUUUGUAUAUUUUUCUCUGUAUUCGAUAUUUUUAUUUUCAAAAAAAGUCCCCCUUUUACAAUCUAUUUUUAGGCUUUUUAUAGCCAGAUUAUACUAUUAUUUUUCUUUUUUCUACUGUUCUCGCUACUAUUCGCUGUCUUUUCUUCUUUUUUUUCUUACAGGCGGUGGUUGAGGAUGACGGUGGCAGAGGUAGACCUAGGGUGUGCAUGCUGACAUGGCCAAGGCAUAGGAGAGGUGGCGGGGCUAGGGUUUCUGUUUUGUUGAAAAAUGUUUAGGUUUUUGGGCUUAUUGGGCCAUUAAAGUUUUUUGAUUUGGGCCAUAUUAGGUCAUAUUGUAAAUGGACUGUUAUGGACUUUUGAUUUAUGGUUUUAUUUAUUUUAUUUUUGGUUUGUUUUUUUGGGCCUGGGCAAAAUUGAGCUUCUACAUAUAUAAUUUAUAAAAUUUU
rnacentral:lncRNA from 1 species